CCGCGCAGGUCACUGGUGAGUUGUCGCCGCAUCGCGCCGGUCAGUGCGCGCCAGCACACACACCCUAAUGGAAAGUAGGAGCCUGAGCGUCGUGACUUCCUCCCUGUUACUUCACUGACGGAGAAUGGAAGAAACCACCUGACCGGUCAGGCUCAAACAGCAGCAGCUGAAACAUCCCCGCGAGGAAGAGGGGGGCAAUGCAGAGUAACAGGGAGUCAGAGAGUGACAAAAACGGUUGACGCCCAUUUGGACACAAUGCGGCACAGAUGACUUCACUCACUCUUGAUAGUGGAGUUAUAAAUCAUCAGCCAAUCAGUGGUGUGACCACUGACACUGCCCAGCUGUAUGGAGCGUGCCGUACAGAGGCAGCACACGUCCACCAGACCUUCAUUAACCUUCGCACGUCCUCCUCCAUCCUGCUCUCUUAUUAGGAUGAGCAGAUAAGUAGAAGCUUUUAGAUGAAGUAAGAGCUAAAGUUGAAGUACUUUAACAAGCUCUUUCUCUCUCUCUCUCUCUCUCUCUCUCUCUCUCUCUCUCUCUCGCGCGCUCUCUCUCCUCUUCGGUUAUUUCCUUCGGCCAGUUCUAGUAAGCACGUUGGUUUUUGUGUGUUUGUGUGUCUCAGUCAAGCAGUUCAAAGAGUUCAUAAGCCUAUUUGGUCAGCGAUGAAGAAAAAUGAAAGGAAAUAGCUGGAGAGAGAAAGGAGAAUAUAUUGUACUUUAACCCAACAAAAGGCUAAUCCUGUCAACAUUGAUCAUAUUUCAAUAUGUUGGUACUGGCCCUGAAGGACCACAUGUUCAGGAAGUCACACAGCAGAAACAUGCAGAUCUGGGAGUUAGAGAAGAAGCAGACCAGCACAGUGUGGAUUUAGGUCAGUCUUCAUGAGUGAAAAUCUGCAACCGCUUACUUCAAUUGCUAUAGUUCUAUAUUUGGCUCCAUGAAUCCAUGUUUCUCUAAUUUUAAAGUGUUUGUAUUGUGUCUAUGCAUUUGUUGACGUAUUGUGUAACGUUAUGUCUUGGUGGAAAACCAGUUUCCCAUUUGGGGAUUAAUAAAGUUCAUCCUAUCCUUUUCUA